UUUUGCCUUUGCAUUGUCCACUAAAGGGGAAGGCAGUGGGCUGACGGCCUCCCAACAUAAGCAAAUUGCCAAUAAAUUAUGUUCUCUGCUGGGAGGGUGAGGGAAGAGACUGAAUCACUGAUUCAAGAGAGCGAGAGAGAGGGCGAGCGAGAAAGAGAGAGAGAGAGGGAGAGAGAAUAUGUGGAUCGGACUGACUAGCACCGGCCCGCACGCGCGUGUCUAUUUCCUCUUUCAGUGGUGUGGUGCACACGCGUUUCACUAGUUUUGACAAGGGAAUGCUUUUUUUUUGGAGGCGGCAUCUCUUGUUUUCCAUCAGCGCGCGCUUGAUGCGGAUUAAAUCACUCUUCAAACAUCAAUCUCGUCUCAGAGCGGAUCAGCACCUUGGACAGCGGAUGCCAGAGAUGAUGACUUUUUCACUGGAGAAAGCAAUAGGCUCUAAAAGCCGGCAGAGCAGAAAGAGAGCUGUGACCACCCAUUCCAUCUUCACGACUGACAGUGCGCUCAGCUCCGAUGCAGGAGUAAGAGACAGCGACAAGAGACCAGGACAGAAUCCAGCCAUGCUGUUUAUAUGGGUCAGCUGACACAGACAAGCAGGCCCAUGUCGGUAAGUUCAGGAAGUCGACACAAUCUGGCUCAGCAGUGGAUAAACAUACAGAUAAAUCACGGUCACGUCGAAUCAAAGAGAUAUUGACAUACGAAACUAGUGUGGAGGCCAUGUGAAGCUCGAAAUGCGGUAAAUACGGCCAUUGGACUGUGUGGAGCUUUGCUAAACAGGCUCCUCAGUCACCAGCAUCAAUGGACAACAGUUUGCACACCAUGAACUAACCUUGCUAUUUUUGAAGGAUACAAUUUGUUCAUAUUUCAC
ensembl:lncRNA